rnacentral:rRNA from 1 species
AGAGUUUGAUCCUGGCUCAGAACGAACGCUGGCGGCAGGCCUCAAACAUGCAAGUCUAGGGGGUGUAGCAAUACAUCACCGGCGGACGGGUGCGUAACACGUGGGAAUAUACCUUUUGGUUCGGAACAACGCAGGGAAACUUGCGCUAAUACCGAAUGUGCCCUUACGGGGAAAGAUUUAUCGCCAAAGGAUUAGCCCGCGUCCGAUUAGCUAGUUGGUGAGGUAAUGGCUCACCAAGGCUCCGAUCGGUAGCUGUUCUGAGAGGAAGAUCAGCCACACUGGGACUGAGACACGGCCCAGACUCCUACGGGAGGCAGCAGUUGGGAAUCUUGGACAAUGGGGGAAACCCUGAUCCAGCCAUGCCGCGUGAGUGAUGAAGGCCUUCGGGUUGUAAAACUCUUUCGACGGGGACGAUAAUGACGGUACCCGUAGAAGAAGCUCCGGCUAACUUCGUGCCAGCAGCCGCGGUAAUACGAAGGGGGCUAGCGUUGUUCGGAAUUACUGGGCGUAAAGCGCGCGCAGGCGGUUUUUCAAGUCAGUGGUGAAAGCCCGGAGCUCAACUCCGGAACUGCCAUUGAAACUGUGAAACUUGAGGAUGAGAGAGGUGAGUGGAAUUCCCAGUGUAGAGGUGAAAUUCGUAGAUAUUGGGAAGAACACCGGUGGCGAAGGCGGCUCACUGGCUCAUUUCUGACGCUCAGGCGCGACAGCGUGGGGAUCAAACAGGAUUAGAUACCCUAGUAGUCC